ACGCUGGCGGCGUGCCUAAUACAUGCAAGUAGAACGCUGAAGGAGGAGCUCGCUUCUCCGGAUGAGUUGCGAACGGGUGAGUAACGCGUAGGUAACCUGCCUGGUAGCGGGGGAUAACCAUUGGAAACGAUAGCUAAUACCGCAUAAGAGUAGAUGUUGCAUGACAUUUGCUUAAAAGGUGCAAUUGCAUCACUACCAGAUGGACCUGCGUUGUAUUAGCUAGUUGGUGGGGUAACGGCUCACCAAGGCGACGAUACAUAGCCGACCUGAGAGGGUGAUCGGCCACACUGGGACUGAGACACGGCCCAGACUCCUACGGGAGGCAGCAGUAGGGAAUCUUCGGCAAUGGACGGAAGUCUGACCGAGCAACGCCGCGUGAGUGAAGAAGGUUUUCGGAUCGUAAAGCUCUGUUGUAAGAGAAGAACGAGUGUGAGAGUGGAAAGUUCACACUGUGACGGUAUCUUACCAGAAAGGGACGGCUAACUACGUGCCAGCAGCCGCGGUAAUACGUAGGUCCCGAGCGUUGUCCGGAUUUAUUGGGCGUAAAGCGAGCGCAGGCGGUUAGAUAAGUCUGAAGUUAAAGGCUGUGGCUUAACCAUAGUACGCUUUGGAAACUGUUUAACUUGAGUGCAAGAGGGGAGAGUGGAAUUCCAUGUGUAGCGGUGAAAUGCGUAGAUAUAUGGAGGAACACCGGUGGCGAAAGCGGCUCUCUGGCUUGUAACUGACGCUGAGGCUCGAAAGCGUGGGGAGCAAACAGAAUUAGAUACCCUGGUAGUCCACGCCGUAAACGAUGAGUGCUAGGUGUUAGACCCUUUCCGGGGUUUAGUGCCGCAGCUAACGCAUUAAGCACUCCGCCUGGGGAGUACGACCGCAAGGUUGAAACUCAAAGGAAUUGACGGGGGGCCCCGCACAAGCGGU
rnacentral:rRNA from 1 species